rnacentral:rRNA from 1 species
AGAGUUUGAUCCUGGCUCAGAACGAACGCUGGCGGCGCGCCUAACACAUGCAAGUCGAACGAGAAUCCGGGGCAACCCGGUAGUAAAGKGGCAAACGGGUGAGGAAUACAUGGGUAACCUACCCUUGAGAAGGGAAUAACCCGCCGAAAGGUGAGCUAAUACCCUAUACGCUUUACUCUUCAUGGAGAGUAAAGGAAAGUUAAGCCGUGGGCUUGGCACUCAAGGAGGGGCUCAUGUCCUAUCAGCUUGUUGGUGGGGKAAUGGCCUACCAAGGCUACGACGGGUAGCUGGUCUGAGAGGAUGAUCAGCCACACUGGCACUGAGAUACGGGCCAGACUCCUACGGGAGGCAGCAGUGAGGAAUAUUGCGCAAUGGGCGAAAGCCUGACGCAGCGACGCCGCGUGGUGGAUGAAGGUUUUCGGAUUGUAAACCCCUUUUGUGAGGAAAGAUAAAGUGGGUAACCACUUAGACGGUACCUCAAGAAAAAGCCACGGCUAACUUCGUGCCAGCAGCCGCGGUAAUACGAAGGUGUCGAGCGUUGUUCGGAUUUACUGGGCGUAAAGAGCACGUAGGCGGUUGGGUAAGCCUCUUGGGAAAGCUCCCGGGUUAACCGGGAAAGGUCGAGGGGAACUACUCAGCUAGAGGACGGGAGAGGAGCGCGGAAUUCCCGGUGUAGUGGUGAAAUGCGUAGAUAUCGGAAGAAGSCCGGUGGCGAAGGMGGCGCUCUGGAAYGUACCUGACGCUGAGGUGC